rnacentral:rRNA from 1 species
GACGAACGCUGGCGGCGUGCUUAACACAUGCAAGUCGAACGGAAAGGCCCUGCGUUUGCGGCGUGCUCGUGUGGCGAACGGGUGAGUAACACGUGAGUAACCUGCCCUUGACUCUGGGAUAACUCCAGGAAACAGGGGCUAAUAUCGGAUAGGAGCUCCUGCAGCACGGUGGGGGUUGGAAAGUUUCGGCGGUUGGGGAUGGACUCGCGGCUUAUCAGCUUGUUGGUGGGGUAGUGGCUUACCAAGGCUUUGACGGGUAGCCCGCCUGAGAGGUUGACCGGCCACAUUGGUACUGCGAUACGCCGCAGACUCCUACGUGAGGCAACAGUGGGAAAUAUUGCACAAUAAGCGGAAGCCAGAGGCAGCGGCGCUGCGUGCGUGAUGACGUCCUUCGGGUUAUAAACCGCUUUCGCCUGAAACGAGGCGAGAGUGACGGUAAUGGGUAAAGAAGCACCGGCUAACUACGUG